UACGUAGGGGGCAAGCGUUGUUCGGAUUCAUUGGGCGUAAAGGGCGCGUAGGCGGCUACGCACGUCCGUUGUGAAAUCGCUCGGCUCAACUGGGCGGGGUCAGCGGAUACGGCGUAGCUGGAGCAAGCUAGGGGGCAAUGGAAUUCCCGGUGUAGUGGUGGAAUGCGUAGAUAUCGGGAGGAACACCAGUGGCGAAGGCGGUUGCCUGGAGCUUUGCUGACGCUGAUGCGCGAAAGCGUGGGGAGCGAUCCGG
rnacentral:rRNA from 1 species